rnacentral:lncRNA from 1 species
CUUUGGUGAAUUUCUUGGAGGGUGCUAAAUAUUUCGUUGACAAAAAGAGAGGAUCCAGGAAGAAGAAAAGUGAAGUUAAAUAUUGAGGAGCUGAUAAAUGCAUACCAAGUGACCACCCUGAUCAUAGGUUUGAAGCAACAGGAUUACUGCCAAAGAAAAAUCAGCAGUGAUGUUCCCCAGAGGUCUCAUAAGCAAGUCUGAUGUGAAGUCAAACAAAAGGAGCUU